CGCAAUCGCCCUUCGGGGUGCACCAGGCGCGAAAACUUUACAAUGCCGGCAACGGCGAUAAGGGAACCUCGAGUGCCAGGUUACAAAUCUGGCUGUCGUGAUGCCUAAAAAGCAUUGCAUAGCAAGGGCCGGGCAAGACCGGUGCCAGCCGCCGCGGUAACACCGGCGGCUCGAGUGGUAACCGUUAUUAUUGGGUCUAAAGGGUCUGUAGCCGGCCGGGUAAGUCUCUUGGGAAAUCUGGCAGCUUAACUGUCAGGCUUUCAGGAGAUACUGCCUGGCUCGAGGCCGGGAGAGGUGAGAGGUACUUCAGGGGUAGGGGUGAAAUCUUGUAAUCCUUGAAGGACCACCAGUGGCGAAGGCGUCUCACCAGAACGGACCUGACGGCAAGGGACGAAAGCUAGGGGCACGAACCGGAUUAGAUACCCGGGUAGUCCUAGCCGUAAACGAUACUCGCUAGGUGUCGGCCACGGUGCGACCGUGGUCGGUGCCGUAGGGAAGCCGUGAAGCGAGCCACCUGGGAAGUACGGCCGCAAGGCUGAAACUUAAAGGAAUUGGCGGGGGAGCAC
rnacentral:rRNA from 1 species